GUCCUGUCCCUGCAGAAGGACUUCCUGUUGAAAACCUGUGAACCCUGGAAAACUAUUCUUGCGUUUGAGCUACACAGGACUAUUUCAAGGUCACAAACUCCUUGCUGCAGGGGGAGACUAGAAGAUACUUUUUUGACCCAAAGAAUGAGCACCUUCUUUUGUACUGCUCGUUGCAGGCAGUUGGAAUUGUAGCUGUAAGGAGAGUGCAGCUCCAAGGCAGGGUCAAGCUGUCCCUGGAAGAUGGAGUAGGGGAGAUGACCCGGGAAAACACUAAGUGACUUUUCUCUAAAGGAACAUCAUCCUAUCUGGGUAGAACACACUCACUGAAGAAAUGGUGUGGGAUGGUGGCAUGCACCUAGUGCAAGAGCGGUGAAUGUAGGUAAAAGCAGGUGGAGAGAAAUUAGGUAGCACGCUGACUCUUUUGCAUAAUUGUUUUCUAACAAAUGUACUUUCCUUUAGUUUCAAAAGAAACAGACUGUAAUAAGCAUACUUUUUAAAUUAUGUGAAUUUGAGACCCGGUAAAUAGAAGCAAUGGGUAGGACUCAAAAAUAAAGGAACUCUAUGUGUAAGAGUUAUGACAAG
rnacentral:lncRNA from 1 species